CCAUUUCACAGGCCUGCCUUCUCUCACUAACGAUCUUCCUCGUCCCCGGGCCAACUCGGACAGUUUGCUCAUUUAUUGCAACGGUCAAGGCUGGCUCGUGCCAGAGCAGCGCGCGCGCGCACGCACACUCGGGGAAACUUUUUUAAAAAAAUGAAAAGCUAGACUCGCUCCUCUCCGCGCGGGCGCUGCGCGAGGGGGUCGGAGCUGACUCGCUGCAGCAGGAAAUCCCUCCGGCAGCGACGCCCGGCCCCGGCUCGCCGCCCGCGUGGGAUGGUGCAGUGCUGGCCGCCGGGCCCCGAGAGCUGCUGCACGGAAGGCUGGCGACCAUGGCAGCGCGCCCG
rnacentral:lncRNA from 1 species